rnacentral:rRNA from 1 species
AACGAACGCUGGCGGCAUGCCUAACACAUGCAAGUCGAACGAACCCUUCGGGGUUAGUGGCGCACGGGUGCGUAACGCGUGGGAAUCUGCCCUUUGCUUCGGAAUAACAGUUAGAAAUGACUGCUAAUACCGGAUGAUGCCUUCGGACCAAAGAUUUAUCGGCAAGGGAUGAGCCCGCGUAGGAUUAGGUAGUUGGUGGGGUAAAGGCAUACCAAGACGACGAUCCUUAGCUGGUCUGAGAGGAUGAUCAGCCACACUGGGACUGAGACACGGCCCAGACUCCUACGGGAGGCAGCAGUGGCUAAUAUUGGACAAUGGGCGCAAUCCUGAUCCAGCAAAGCCGCGUGAGUGAUGAAGGCCUUCGGGUCGUAAAGCUCUUUUACCAGGGAUGACAAUGACAGUACCUGGAGAAUAAGCUCCGGCUAACUCCGUGCCAGCAGCCGCGGUAAAAC